UUGAUGGAUGAUGGUAGAUUUAAAGCUAUCGUGCGUAGUGUCACCCCCAUGAGGAAUUCUAAGUAAUGACAACAAAACUGUAGGCGCGUUCACAUGAUACAAG